rnacentral:rRNA from 1 species
AUUGAACGCUGGCGGCAGGCUUAACACAUGCAAGUCGAGCGAGCGGCGGACGGGUGAGUAAUGUCUGGGAAACUGCCUGAUGGAGGGGGAUAACUACUGGAAACGGUAGCUAAUACCGCAUACCAUCAGAUGUGCCCAGAUGGGAUUAGCUAGUAGGUGGGGUAAUGGCUCACCUAGGCGACGAUCCCUAGCUGGUCUGAGAGGAUGACCAGCAACACUGGAACGAGGACACGGUCCAGACUCGUACGGGAGACAGCAGUGGGGAAGAUUGCACAAUGGGCGCAAGCCUGAUGCAGCAAUGCCGGGUGUGGGAAGAGGGCCUUCGGGUUGUAAAGCACUUCCAGCGAGGAGGGUUUACUCGCAGAAGAAGCACCGGCUAACUCCGUGCCAGCAGCCGCGGUAAUAC